rnacentral:rRNA from 1 species
GGGUUGUGAGGUUAAGCGACUAAGCGUACACGGUGGAUGCCCUGGCAGUCAGAGGCGAUGAAGGACGUGCUAAUCUGCGAAAAGCGUCGGUAAGGUGAUAUGAACCGUUAUAACCGGCGAUGUCCGAAUGGGGAAACCCAGUGCAAUUCGUUGCACUAUCGUUAACUGAAUACAUAGGUUAACGAGGCGAACCGGGGGAACUGAAACAUCUAAGUACCCCGAGGAAAAGAAAUCAACCGAGAUUCCCCAGUAGCGGCGAGCGAACGGGGAGCAGCCCAGAGUCUGAAUCAGCUUGUGUUAGUGGAACGGUCUGGAAAGUCCGACGGUACAGGGUGAUAGUCCCGUACACCAAAAUGCACAGGUUGUGAACUCGAAGAGUAGGGCGGGACACGUGGUAUCCUGUCUGAAUAUGGGGGGACCAUCCUCCAAGGCUAAAUACUCCUGACUGACCGAUAGUGAACCAGUACCGUGAGGAAAGGCGAAAAGAACCCCGGCGAGGGAGUGAAAAGAACCUGAAACCGUGUACGUACAAGCAGUGGGAGCACCUUCGGGUGUGACUGCGUACCUUUUGUAUAAUGGGUCAGCGACUUAUAUUCUGUAGCAAGGUUAACCGUAUAGGGGAGCCGCAGGGAAACCGAGUCUUAACUGGGCGUUAAGUUGCAGGGUAUAGACCCGAAACCCGGUGAUCUAGCCAUGGGCAGGUUGAAGGUUGGGUAACACUAACUGGAGGACCGAACCGACUAAUGUUGAAAAAUUAGCGGAUGACUUGUGGCUGGGGGUGAAAGGCCAAUCAAACCGGGAGAUAGCUGGUUCUCCCCGAAAGCUAUUUAGGUAGCGCCUCGUGAAUUCAUCUUCGGGGGUAGAGCACUGUUUCGGCUAGGGGGUCAUCCCGACUUACCAACCCGAUGCAAACUACGAAUACCGAAGAAUGUUAUCACGGGAGACACACGGCGGGUGCUAACGUCCGUCGUGAAGAGGGAAACAACCCAGACCGCCAGCUAAGGUCCCAAAGUCAUGGUUAAGUGGGAAACGAUGUGGGAAGGCACAGACAGCCAGGAUGUUGGCUUAGAAGCAGCCAUCAUUUAAAGAAAGCGUAAUAGCUCACUGGUCGAGUCGGCCUGCGCGGAAGAUGUAACGGGGCUAAACCAUGCACCGAAGCUGCGGCAGCGACGCUUAUGCGUUGUUGGGUAGGGGAGCGUUCUGUAAGCCUGCGAAGGUGGCCUGUGAGGGCUGCUGGAGGUAUCAGAAGUGCGAAUGCUGACAUAAGUAACGAUAAAGCGGGUGAAAAGCCCGCUCGCCGGAAGACCAAGGGUUCCUGUCCAACGUUAAUCGGGGCAGGGUGAGUCGACCCCCUAAGGCGAGGCCGAAAGGCGUAGUCGAUGGGAAACAGGUUAAUAUUCCUGUACUUGGUGUUACUGCGAAGGGGGGACGGAGAAGGCUAUGUUAGCCGGGCGACGGUUGUCCCGGUUUAAGCAUGUAGGCGGAGGUUCCAGGUAAAUCCGGUACCUUUUAACGCUGAGGUGUGAUGACGAGGCACUACGGUGCUGAAGUAACAAAUGCCCUGCUUCCAGGAAAAGCCUCUAAGCAUCAGGUAACAUUAAAUCGUACCCCAAACCGACACAGGUGGUCAGGUAGAGAAUACCAAGGCGCUUGAGAGAACUCGGGUGAAGGAACUAGGCAAAAUGGUGCCGUAACUUCGGGAGAAGGCACGCUGGUGUGUAGGUGAAGUCCCUGCGGAUGGAGCUGAGACCAGUCGAAGAUACCAGCUGGCUGCAACUGUUUAUUAAAAACACAGCACUGUGCAAACACGAAAGUGGACGUAUACGGUGUGACGCCUGCCCGGUGCCGGAAGGUUAAUUGAUGGGGUUAUCCGUAAGGAGAAGCUCUUGAUCGAAGCCCCGGUAAACGGCGGCCGUAACUAUAACGGUCCUAAGGUAGCGAAAUUCCUUGUCGGGUAAGUUCCGACCUGCACGAAUGGCGUAAUGAUGGCCAGGCUGUCUCCACCCGAGACUCAGUGAAAUUGAACUCGCUGUGAAGAUGCAGUGUACCCGCGGCAAGACGGAAAGACCCCGUGAACCUUUACUAUAGCUUGACACUGAACAUUGAGCCUUGAUGUGUAGGAUAGGUGGGAGGCUUUGAAGCGUGGACGCCAGUCUGCGUGGAGCCAACCUUGAAAUACCACCCUUUAAUGUUUGAUGUUCUAACGUUGGCCCCUUAUCGGGGUUGCGGACAGUGUCUGGUGGGUAGUUUGACUGGGGCGGUCUCCUCCCAAAGAGUAACGGAGGAGCACGAAGGUUAGCUAAUCCUGGUCGGACAUCAGGAGGUUAGUGCAAUGGCAUAAGCUAGCUUGACUGCGAGCGUGACGGCGCGAGCAGGUGCGAAAGCAGGUCAUAGUGAUCCGGUGGUUCUGAAUGGAAGGGCCAUCGCUCAACGGAUAAAAGGUACUCCGGGGAUAACAGGCUGAUACCGCCCAAGAGUUCAUAUCGACGGCGGUGUUUGGCACCUCGAUGUCGGCUCAUCACAUCCUUGGGGCUGAAGUAGGUCCCAAGGGUAUGGCUGUUCGCCAUUUAAAGUGGUACGCGAGCUGGGUUUAGAACGUCGUGAGACAGUUCGGUCCCUAUCUGCCGUGGGCGCUGGAGAAUUGAGGGGGGGGCUGCUCCUAGUACGAGAGGACCGGAGUGGACGCAUCACUGGUGUUCGGGUUGUCAUGCCAAUGGCACUGCCCGGUAGCUAAAUGCGGAAGAGAUAAGUGCUGAAAGCAUCUAAGCACGAAACUUGCCCCGAGAUGAGUUCUCCCUGAGACUAUAAGUCUCCUGAAGGAACGUUGAAGACGACGACGUUGAUAGGCCGGGUGUGUAAGCGCAGCGAUGCGUUGAGCUAACCGGUACUAAUGAACCGUGAGGCUUAACCUUACAACGCCGAAGCUGUU